rnacentral:rRNA from 1 species
UACGUAGGUGGCAAGCGUUGUCCGGAUUUACUGGGCGUAAAGAGCGCGCAGGCGGUCAUUCAAGUCGCGUGUGAAAGCCCCCGGCUCAACUGGGGAGGGUCACGCGAUACUGAUCGACUCGAAGGCAGGAGAGGGUAGUGGAAUUCCCGGUGUAGUGGUGAAAUGCGUAGAUAUCGGGAGGAACACCAGUGGCGAAGGCGACUACCUGGCCUGUUCUUGACGCUGAGGCGCGAAAGCGUGGGGAGCGAACAGG